rnacentral:rRNA from 1 species
GACGAACGCUGGCGGCGUGCUUAACACAUGCAAGUCGAACGGAAAGGCCCUGCUUUUGUUGGGUUCUCGAGUGGCGAACGGGUGAGUAACACGUGAGUAACCUGCCCUUGACUUUGGGAUAACUUCAGGAAACUGGGGCGAAUACCGGAUAGGAGCUCCUGCUGCAUGGGGGUGGUUGGAAAGUUUCGGCGGUUGGGGAUGGACUCGCAGCUUAUCAGCUGGUUGGUGGGGUAGUGGCUUACCAAGGCUUUGACGGGUAGCCGGCCUGAGAGGGUGACCGGGCACAUUGGGACUGAGAUACGGCCCAGACUCCUACGGGAGGCAGCAGUGGGGAAUAUUGCACAAUGGGCGGACGCCUGAUGCAGCAACGCCGCGUGCGGGAUGACGGCCUUCGGGUUGUAAACCGCUUUGGCAUGUGACGAAGCGUGAGUGACGGUAAUGGGUAAAGAAGCACCGGCUAACUACGUG